UUACAUGAUUUAGUUGUACUGAAAGAUGUGUAAAUAUAGUUUUAGAUAUUCUAAUAUUGUAGAUAUACAUAGAGUUUGAACAUCAACCUAUGGUUCAUCAAGAUAGAAGAUGAUUCCUUCAUUCCUCCUGUUCAUUAUUUGUGUUACAAAAUCCGAAACACUGCUCCUCCUGAGCAGCAAAAAUAGUAGUAUUAAUAAACAAGGAAGAAAUCCGGGAUAUACCACAGAUCUGCAUCUCAACAAUAAUAUGAACAAUCUAAUGCCGACAAUGACUUCGUCCUUAUACGAUGGGAAUAAACCAUUGAUGACGAGUAUGGUUUCAAAUGCAGUACAUUCUACAGAAAAUAUACCAGCAAAUACUUACCAAACCUUAACAUCUCGAUUGAUUGAAAACAAAACUAGGCCGUACAUAGAUGUGAUUCCACAGUCUACAUGGACCCUUCAGAUAGAAUCAACCAGUCAGAUAACAAUGACAGAGACGUGGUAUACAAGUCCAAUAAUUGAAAUCAACGAAACAGAUAUUAGUGAAAGUACAAAUACAUUUCCAGCAGUACACAUUAAAGCUAGAAGUACCUCUGAAAUACAGCAUUCGGUGGUCAUCACAACAGAAAAGACACGUAUUGUUGAGAAAUCAGCACAACCAAUUAUAAACUGUGAUUUAUUGAGAAACCUGGGUUUCAACCACCCUGCCUGUAAUCCUGGACAAUGGACAUAAACUAUAGAUGAUCAAGACUAAUACCAGUACUAUACAGUCUACUGAACUUUAUUUAUAUGAACAUAUUUACCUUAAAACAAUAUUCAUUUUUAUUAACUCGUUCGUUGAGUUUUGGACCCAUUAGUCAUUAUGAAUGGCAGACUUCGGUCCAUGAACUAUGUUUAACCUCCCCCUUUAUGAUUUUUACUGAAGGUGAACAGCAGCCAAGAGGCUUCGAUAAUGUGUGUAUAUUGUUAAUUUGCAUCUGUGAUUCUUAUAAAAUUAAAGGAGGUGUGGUAUGAUUACCAAUAAGAUACAAUAAAGACAGAAGAAGAACAACACAAAUAAAAUAAAUACGACGUAUUAAUGAAUAUUUUCUCAAUAUUUCAUUUAAAAUGUAUUAUAAGUUCCAAAACAUAUCGAUAAUCAAACAAUUUAGAUGUCAAUUAUUUGAUUUAAAGCAUCUCUGCAGGAUAUUAGGGGAGACAUACCAAGGAUCAGGACACUACAUUGGUAUCUCUGAAAUUCACUUAAAAAAAUCGGCUCUUGUUCAUGUUUAGAGCUUUGAAUAUCGUUGCUUUUCUCUAAAUGGUCUUAAAACCUCAAUCAUUUGUUUCUCUCACUUGUUUUGUUCCUCAGUUUUAUUUUAAAGCUAUUCAAUCUGUCGAAUGGACUAAAACUCGUGUUAUCUAUUAAACCAAAUCAGGAUGAACUAACGCAAAUGACACGAAAUAUAAAUGUUUUUGUCAUUUAUUUCAAUGGAAAUAUAGGCACUGGUAAGUUACAGCCUUUAGUGUCAAACGAUUUCACGUAUGUAUCAAAAUCAUACCUCUGGUAUCAUAGGUGUUGGGGAUAUUUUACCUGAUAGGCCUGUACCAUACUUGACUUGUCAAUAUGUUGCAAAUACCGUUUUUUUAUGAAUAUUUGGCAUCAUUUACAAGAAAGCAACACCAUUGAAAAAAAUCACUUCCAAAUCACGAAUUAGAAGAACAGGAAAACACAUAUUCGUAAAACGCAUGAACGUCAAAAAAUUUGAAUACUGAAAUUAUAACAAAAAAGUAAAUAAAAAACCAUGAGGAAAUAUGAUCUUACCUUUAAAAAUCAAGGUUGGGAGAACGAAACAAAUAACUAGUAAAAAUUUGUCACAUUCGCCUACUACUGAAAUCAGAACAAAACAUAUCAGUGUUUUCACGAGGUUAUAUGAGGUGUACAACGAAAUGUCGGGUUAUGGGCUAGGUUUAAAAUAAACAACACAAUUAAUUACAGGUGGGUGUUAAACGCAGGCAUUACGAAUUUGUCAAGUAAAUAUAAACAAACUAUUAUAAAUGAAAAACAAAAUACAUGUACACCAUUUCUUUCAAUAUUUAAAAAGUGUAUCUUCUUCAUUUGAAGGUCAGCUAAUUAAUGAUAUUGAGAUUUGCUGUCACCUAUUUUAUUGUUUUUGUUUGUAAUAACACUAUACUUGUGAAGACCAAUUUCCAUUGCUUAACUAUUUUUCCUUUUAUAUUU